AGACUCCCGAGUAGCUGGGACUACAGGCGCCCGCCAUGAUGCCCGGCUAAUUUUUUGUAUUUUUAGCAGAGACGGGGUUUCACCCUGUUAGCCAGGAUGGUCUCAUCUCCUGACCUCGUGAUCCGCCCGCCUAGGCCUCCCAAAGUGCUGGGAUUACAGGCGUGAGCCACCGCGCCCGGCCUAAUAAAGGACAAUUUUUAAUAGCCACUGGACUAUUUAAGUGAUCUCUUCUGUCAGUUUCUUUUACCAUCAGAGGACACAGCAGCAAGGUGCCAUCCUAGAAGCAGAGAGCAGACCCUUACCAGACAACCAACCAGCUGGUGCCAUGAUCUUGGACUUCUCGGCCUCCAGAACUGCACUUAAACACGCAGCAUGAGGAAAAUGGAACAACAAUCUUGAGGUGCCUUCUGAAUCAUCAGAUUAAAUUAUGCUUCGGUCUUGCACUGCUGCCUAGGCUAGAGUGCAGUGGUGCAAUCAGGGCUCACUGCAGCCUCACUCAACUUCCCAGUCUCAAGCCAUCCUCCUACCUCAGCCUCUGUUCCACUAAUCUACUUGUCAAUUUUUCCAGCAACACCACACCCUCCUGAUCACCAUAGCUUUAUGGUAAGACACCCCUACUCUGUCCAGACCCAACUGUCAACAGAAGCCAAAGCCAUCUGGAGGAGCAUGCAACAACAAGAAACAAAUUUAUUAGCUAACCUAACCACUAAUGACGCAAGAGACAAUUCUAAGGACUUUCAAAACAGCAAAGUAGGAGCAGCUGCUACCUCUAGGGAUGAGGGAGAAACUCAAAAAUGCAUACAAAAACCAUUGCAUGAAAAGUGACUGGAUUUGUACAUAGCGUCAGGAGAUGUGCGUAGUGUCAAAGUAUCUCAUCACACAUUACUUGAUAAUUACAAAUGAGAAAAAUGAACCUUCACAGUGGCAAGACUUGACUUCUACCUCUUUCAAAAAGAUGCAAUUGUCCAAUUAUUGGUGAAAUUGUCAUUUCAUGCUAUUGGCUAUUUGAAAUUCCUCCUCUAAUUUCAGAAUAAAUCACUGAAAUUGACAUCGGCCAGUCUGAAUUUCAAGAAAUUACCUGCUGAAGACAAGAGGGAUCUCUUCUUCAGAUUUGCAGUCUGGGGAAGACACAGCCUCUACUGUACUUUAGAACCUGAGAUAUGGUGGUGGAGGGAGCCCUGGGUCGAGUGGUAAGAUUCACCCUUAGGUUAGUAUUGACGUAAGGUGACGAGGAGCUGUAGACAAAAGAUUGUAACCAUAAGAACUUCAUAGUUUUUGUAUUUUCACCGAGCUUAUAUUUGGUGUGUUUUUUGUCUUUUCUUUAUGAUUAUCAAUAAAAUGCUUGAAAGGAGAUG
rnacentral:lncRNA from 1 species